AGUGAACGCUGGCGGUAGGCCUAACACAUGCAAGUCGAACGGCAGCACAGUAAGAGCUUGCUCUUACGGGUGGCGAGUGGCGGACGGGUGAGGAAUACAUCGGAAUCUACUUUUUCGUGGGGGAUAACGUAGGGAAACUUACGCUAAUACCGCAUAUGACCUACGGGUGAAAGCAGGGGAUCUUCGGACCUUGCGCGAUUGAAUGAGCCGAUGUCGGAUUAGCUAGUUGGCGGGGUAAAGGCCCACCAAGGCGACGAUCCGUAGCUGGUCUGAGAGGAUGAUCAGCCACACUGGAACUGAGACACGGUCCAGACUCCUACGGGAGGCAGCAGUGGGGAAUCUUAGGCAAUGGGCGAAAGCCUGAUCCAGCAAUACCGCGUGGGUGAUGAAGGCCUUCGGGUUGUAAAGCCCUUUUGUUGGGAAAGAAAAGCAGCAGGUUAAUACCCGGCUGUUCUGACGGUACCCAAAGAAUAAGCACCGGCUAACUUCGUG
rnacentral:rRNA from 1 species